CCGCGGUGAAUACGUUCCCGGACCUUGUACACACCGCCCGUCAAGCCAUGGAAGCUGGGUGUACCUAAAGUCGGUAACCGCAAGGAGCCGCCUAGGGUAAAACUAGUAACUGGGGCU
rnacentral:rRNA from 1 species